UUUAGCCAUCACGUGAUUCUCGUGUCUGCUCCGGUGUCAUACACCAUUACCCGAGCUGGCGAGCGGGUCUCUGGUGGAAGUCCCGGUGUAAUGACGUAACGGGCUAGCCCGACUUCGCAAAAAGUAAACAUGGCGGGCAGAAUUCGCCGCGACAUUCAGUGUGCGAAACUUGUUUUAUGAAACAUCAUGAAGAGCUGCUUCAUGAUAACAAACCACGUCGUCUGCUACCACACAUGAAUGAUGGGAUGGUGAAGCAUGACAACUGAUCAAAAUAAUGGCAAGAUUUCAAGAGACAUCUCAUCUAUUGGAGGUGUUCAAGGAAACGAAGCCCUCACCGGUGAAAAAGAAAGCGGUCAAGAGUCAAAAGAGGUCCAGCCCCCCCCCCCCCUCCCCGCCCUGCUUUUCGAAUUUGCAGCACCUGCAGUGGCCUGAAAUUUAGGGGAAAAAUGUUCUUGGGUCCACCCUUGGUGUCCCCUUAAAACAAGAUGGUGCCUUCCCCUGCCCUCCAACCCCAACUUACUGAACAAAUCCUGGCUCAGGCUAGCCACGGCAUUUGAAGUUGCUGUGUGAGUUGCCUUUUCUUGUGCAGGCCUGGAUGAAAUUCCUAUAUGAUCUUUUCAAGCUUUUGGGUUUAUCCUCACACGUACUUUGCUGCCGGAAUGCCUAUUUCUUUAAAAAAAAUUUACUCACAGGUUUCUUGAACUUUGACUCUUUCAGUUUACAAUUGAGAGAUUGCAUCGACUAAAAUUCAUUUUCAUGCACUAAAAACAACUAACUGGACACAUUUCAUUA